ensembl:snRNA U6 U6 spliceosomal RNA
GUGCUUGCCUUGGCAACACAUACACUAGAACUGGAACCGUACAGAGGAGGUUGGCGUGGCCCCUGUGCGAGGGUGACAGGCAAAUCUGUGAAGCAUUCCAUCUGUUU